CGUGCACCGGUGGGGUCCCUCGGCCUGGCCUGUGCCCUCUUGCAAUCUGGGACCCCUCGAGGGAUGUCGGAAUGCCCGUUUCAGCCCGAUCCUGCAGGCCAGGCCGAGGGACUCCACUGGUGCACA
rfam:Myotis lucifugus cont2.34042, whole genome shotgun sequence.